rnacentral:rRNA from 1 species
UACAUAGGGGGCAAGCGUUAUCCGGAUUUAUUGGGUGUAAAGGGUGCGUAGACGGAGAAACAAGUUGGUUGUGAAAUCCCUCGGCUCAACUGAGGAACUGCAACCAAAACUGUUUCCCUUGAGUGUCGGAGAGGAAAGUGGAAUUCCUAGUGUAGCGGUGAAAUGCGUAGAUAUUAGGAGGAACACCGGUGGCGAAGGCGACUUUCUGGACGAUAACUGACGUUGAGGCACGAAAGUGUGGGGAGCAAACAGG